rnacentral:rRNA from 1 species
CUUGUUGCCUCGGCGGAUCAGCCCGCUCCCGGUAAAACGGGACGGCCCGCCAGAGGACCCCUAAACUCUGUUUCUAUAUGUAACUUCUGAGUAAAACCAUAAAUAAAUCAAAACUUUCAACAACGGAUCUCUUGGUUCUGGCAUCGAUGAAGAACGCAGCAAAAUGCGAUAAGUAAUGUGAAUUGCAGAAUUCAGUGAAUCAUCGAAUCUUUGAACGCACAUUGCGCCCGCCAGUAUUCUGGCGGGCAUGCCUGUUCGAGCGUCAUUUCAACCCUCAAGCACAGCUUGGUGUUGGGACUCGCGUUAAUUCGCGUUCCUCAAAUUGAUUGGCGGUCACGUCGAGCUUCCAUAGCGUAGUAGUAAAACCCUCGUUACUGGUAAUCGUCGCGGCCACGCCGUUAAACCCCAACUUCUGAAUGUUGACCUCGGAUCAGGUAGGAAUACCCGCUGAACUUAAGCAUAUCAAA